UACGUAGGGGGGCUAGCGUUGUCCGGAAUCAUUGGGCGUAAAGAGCGUGUAGGCGGUCCGGUAAGUCCGCUGUGAAAGUCGGGGGGCUCAACCCUCGAAUGCCGGUGGAUACUGUCGGGCUAGAGUGCGGGAAGAGGCGAGUGGAAUUCCUGGUGUAGCGGUGAAAUGCGCAGAUAUCAGGAGGAACACCGAUGGCGAAGGCAGCUCGCUGGGACGGUACUGACGCUGAGGCGCGAAAGCGUGGGGAGCAAACAGG
rnacentral:rRNA from 1 species